UACGUAGGGGGUAAGCGUUGUCCGGAAUGACUGGGCGUAAAGGGAGUGUAGGCGGUUUAUCAAGUUGAAAGUGAAAGCCCGGGGCUUAACUCCGGAACUGCUUUCAAAACUGGUUGACUAGAGUGUGGGAGAGGUAAGUGGAAUUCCUAGUGUAGCGGUGGAAUGCGUAGAUAUUAGGAGGAACAUCAGAGGCGAAGGCGACUUACUGGAACAUAACUGACGCUGAGGCUCGAAAGCGUGGGGAGCAAAC
rnacentral:rRNA from 1 species